AGGCAGCCUGCUAAAGGCAUACUCAGAACCAGCUCAACUGUUUUCUUUGGGAAUUCCUCUCAGCAUCCUCUCACCUCCAUAGAAUGAAUUAUCGUCGUCAUUCAUUUUCCCAUAGAAUCUGUUUACCUUAUUUAUCAUUUUUGUUUCACUGCCUGUUUCUGCGUUCAUCACCGCACCAUGGUAUUAAAGCAAGACUGCUCAUGAAUCAACUUGUAAUUUCGACCAUGGAAGCAUUAUCCAAGCACCGGAGACCAUGCUCUCUUCAACUUCAAACUGCAGUCAAGUGGAGUAAAUAAUGCAGAGAGCUAAAUUAACUCAAAGCACCAAUGAUCAUGGAAUAACAUUCCUCUGUUUACUGUUCAAGAAAAAUCUUUACAAAUGCUGAAAUGCUGUUAGAAAAUCUAUAGUUAUAUUAUUAUCAUCAUAAAACUAAGAAUUAACCUAUCUUUAUUCUCCUCUGAAAUCUCCUUUCAAGAAAUAAAAACAGCAGGUAGAAGAUACCUUCAAAAUGGAAGAAGCCUUAUGCUAUUUCAUCUAUUUGUCUUUCUUUGGGUUAAACUCCAGAAACCCGGCUUGGUGCUUGUUCACUGUCCACACAAUAGUAAAUGAUCCCAGGAGAAUAAGUACAUGAUCAAUUCCUCAGUGUCUCUGGCAAUAUAAGAGUUUAAAAACAUGUGUACAUGUGCCUGUGCAUACAACAAUACACAUAUAAAUCACGGAUUUUUGCUGAAAUGAAAUACUGAGGCCAUGUGAGCAUUUUUCAGUCUUCAACUUAGACACUUGGGCUGCAUGCCCAGCUAUGACACAUCGUCCAUGUUUAUGAAGUCAAUUUCACUUCAGUUGUUAGUAUCAGUUACCAUCAUUCUGGAUUUAAAGCCACCAGCCCAGAGCCUUUCUCUGAGCUCUCACAGAUUCUAGUAGCUGUAGCAGGCAUGUGACACUUCUGUGCACACUGUCUCAUCUUGUUCCUGGGCCAUCUGUUUGAACAAGGCCUUUUCUCUUCAUUUUAUUAUAAAUUCUUGAAUCCAGGAAGCAUGUCUGAUAUUUCUCAGAAUCCUUUUUAAUGUCUACCCCAGAAGUCUGUUCUAACAAGUACUCC
rnacentral:lncRNA from 1 species